UCGCGGCCAAGCGCCGCCCGCCCUGCCGCUCGCUGCCUUAGUCGCCCGCUUUGCCACGACCGUGGCCUAUUCUGAUUUGGAUCGAGAGGCAGUAGGGAAGAGACGAAUUCGGGAGAGGAGAUGCGCAGGGGAAAGAAGAAAGGGUGGAUCAAUGACAGGUGGGGCCGGUGUGAAUGGAUGAUUAUGGGUAUCCAAAUUUGGUACGCUGUAAAAGUUGGGCCGGUUUUGGAUACUCAUAUUUUCUCUCUUUCCUACCCAUAUUGUUUUGGGGUAUCCAAAAUGUAGGUAUGCUGUUGGAGAUGCUCUUAGAGCAGGUUUUUUACCGCUCCACUGCUAACCGGAGUCCAAAUAUUAUUGUUACCAGCCAAAUUUCGUUCAAUAUCAG
rnacentral:lncRNA from 1 species